rnacentral:rRNA from 1 species
AUUAGAGUUUGAUCCUGGCUCAGAGUGAACGCUGGCGGCGGGCCUAACACAUGCAAGUCGAACGGCAGCACAGAGGAGCUUGCUCCUUGGGUGGCGAGUGGCGGACGGGUGAGGAACACAUCGGAAUCUGCCUUAUCGUGGGGGAUAACGUAGGGAAACUUACGCUAAUACCGCAUACGACCUACGGGUGAAAGCGGAGGACCGCAAGGCUUCGCGCGAUAAGAUGAGCCGAUGUCGGAUUAGCUAGUUGGCGGAGUAAUGGCCCACCAAGGCGACGAUCCGUAGCUGGUCUGAGAGGAUGGUCAGCCACACUGGAACUGAGACACGGUCCAGACUCCUACGGGAGGCAGCAGUGGGGAAUAUUGGACAAUGGGCGCAAGCCUGAUCCAGCCAUGCCGCGUGUGUGAAGAAGGCCUUCGGGUUGUAAAGCACUUUUGUCCGGAAAGAAAAGCCUCGGGUUAAUACCCCGGGGUUCUGACGGUACCGGAAGAAUAAGCACCGGCUAACUUCGUGCCAGCAGCCGCGGUAAUAAUC